AGAAAAACAAACCAUGGGUUUCCGUGUACAACUUUGACUGUCCGUCUUAUAUAAAAUUUUUUUAUAAUUUAUAUUUUCAUUGUUGUUAGAUGAUAAAACAUGAUUAACAUUUUAUGUGUGACUUUUCUUUUUAUUUUUUUAAAUAAAAUGGACGGUCAAACAUUAGACCAG
rnacentral:pre_miRNA from 1 species